rnacentral:piRNA from 1 species
UGCUAAUCAUCAAGAGUUUCUUCCGCA